CAGUGGGGAAUUUUCCGCAAUGGGCGAAAGCCUGACGGAGCAAUGCCGCGUGGAGGUGGAAGGCCUACGGGCCGUCAACUUCUUUUCUCGGAGAAGAAACAAUGACGGUAUCUGAGGAAUAAGCAUCGGCUAACUCUGUGUCAG
rnacentral:rRNA from 1 species